GGAUGAACGCUGGCGGCGUGCCUAAUACAUGCAAGUCGAGCGAUGAGGCUCCUUCGGGAGUACAUCAGCGGCGAACGGGUGAGUAACACGUGGGUGACUUGCCCCGAAGAUGGGGAUAACCUCUGGAAACGGGGGCUAAUACCCAAUGUGCUCGGUGAUUCGGUUCAUCGAGUAAAGCUCCGGCGCUUCGGGAGAGGCCUGCGGCCCAUCAGCUAGUUGGUAGGGUAACGGCCUACCAAGGCAGAGACGGGUAGGGGGCGUGAGAGCGCGGACCCCCACACUGGCACUGAGAUACGGGCCAGACUCCUACGGGAGGCAGCAGUAAGGGAUAUUGCGCAAUGGACGAAAGUCAGACGCAGCGACGCCGCGUGGGCGAUGAAGGCCUUCGGGUUGUAAAGCCCUUUUAUGGGGGAAGAGAAAAAGGACGGUACCCCAGGAAUAAGUCCCGGCUAACUACGUGCCAGCAGCCGCGGUAAAACGUAGGGGACAAGCGUUAUCCGGAUUCACUGGGCGUAAAGAGCGUUGAGGCGGUUCCGUAAGUUGGGCGUGAAAGCUCCGGGCUUAACUCGGAGAUGUCGUUCAAUACUGCGGGGCUUGAGGACAGCAGAGGAAGGUGGAAUUCCCGGUGUAGUGGUGAAAUGCGUAGAUAUCGGGAGGAACACCCGUGGCGAAGGCGGCCUUCUGGGCUGUUCCUGACGCUGAAGGCGAAAGCUAGGGGAGCGAACGGGAUUAGAUACCCCGGUAGUCCUAGCUGUAAACGAUGGAUGCUGGGUGUGGGGGGUGUAAAUUCCCUCUGUGCCGAAGCAAACGCGUUAAGCAUCCCGCAUGGGGACUACGGCCGCAAGGCUAAAACUCAAACGAAUUGACGGGGGCCCGCACAAGCAGCGGAGCGUGUGGUUUAAUUCGAUGCUACACGAAGAACCUUACCUGGGUUUGACAUGCACGUGGUAGGGAACCGAAAGGGGACCGACAUUCGGGAGCGUGCACAGGUGCUGCAUGGCUGUCGUCAGCUCGUGCCGUGAGGUGUCGGGUUAAGUCCCGUAACGAGCGCA
rnacentral:rRNA from 1 species